CUAUAAAAAAGACACCACCUGCUCACUUUAUAACUCACCACCAUCAUAUUACGGAAGCCAUACGCUACCGGAUUGCUGAUCUUAACUGUUCCGGUGACGAUGUCCGAUCAAAGCCCUAAAUCAAUUUUCCCGGUGAUCAUCUUCUCAAGGAGAUGGGGAGCAUUAAGCGAAUGUCUGAGGCUAUUUGGAGUUCAAUUCAGUCAGGGGUUAUCUUGUAAGAUUUCGCACAGUUUCGAUGCUGGUGUCCCCAAGGUGUAAUUUACCCUUUCAAAGUUUCAAUAUUCUUUAUCGCACACUCAAUUGGACAGACUUUCGUAAACACCCUCACUGUAGGUGUAGUAGAAUCAGGUGUUGAACCAUUCUUCACAGCAGGUGCUGAACUAUCCUCCGUCGCCUUGUAUAAUAGUACUGGUCUCUUUUGGGGUUUAGUGGUUCUUUUCUCAUCAGUGAUUUCAUAGUAAUAGGAGUUAUUGACAAGCUGAAUAUGUAAUUUGCCUUUUAGAUCGGUGACCUUUAUCCAAAUACAUUCUGCACGCUCAUCAUCGUUCACGGUUACCUUGUCAAUACAGAUGAUUUCAAGAAUUAAUAACUUGUGCUUAGCUACAUAUUCCCCCCAUCCUUUUCCUCCAAGGUAUUAUCCCUCCUCACAAACGGCAGUAACCGGUAUCUGUUGCUAUCGGCAUUGGGACCUUCUAUAUUAAGGUGGAUGACAAUGGAUCUGGUGUCUCACGAGAUGGACUGGUGCUGAUGGGAAAAAGAUGUGGUAAUCUUUUUGCAGAAUGUUGGACUGACAUCAUCUUUUUUAUUGUAUUGAUGCUGCUGUCCAUAAUUUGUUUUGCCUGACAACUAUGAUGUUCAUAACUUGGAAUGGGAUUGCAUGCAUUACUCAACUGAUAGGUUGUUUGACUGUUUGUGUUCAUUAGUAUCUUUUUACAGAUGUUCUUUUAUUUAUUAUUUUGCGGUUUUACUUGUAAUUAGGAAAAGUGGUUUGGCUGUUCACAACACAAAAUAUUGAUGCUGACAUUUU